UACGUAGGGGGCAAGCGUUGUCCGGAAUCAUUGGGCGUAAAGAGCGUGUAGGCGGCUUGGUAAGUCCGCUGUGAAAGUCCAGGGCUCAACCCUGGAAAGCCGGUGUAAACUGUCAAGCUUGAGUCCGGAAGAGGCGAGUGGAAUUCCUGGUGUAGCGGUGAAAUGCGCAGAUAUCAGGAGGAACACCAAUGGCGAAGGCAGCUCGCUGGGACGGUACUGACGCUGAGACGCGAAAGCGUGGGGAGCAAACAGG
rnacentral:rRNA from 1 species